AAGGGGGAGAGGGAGGUUCGCGAUGUCAGUGUGCCCAUGAGUAUUGGCUACUAAUGCGACUAUGCAAGUGGAUACUAUGUCAAGUGGAAGACCGAACCCCAAGGCAUCAACUAGCCCAUUCACUUGGACAACACACUGUCCACUUCAGCUGCACAGUAUACUGGAUAAGCACUGAACGAAGACUGUAUUAACUUAUUAGCAGUUUGAAACGUAUUUGAUGCCCGUGCCAAGCAACUAAACAAGAGGCCUUCGAAUUGUCAUUGACGAAGACCUGAGCUACGGGCCUAAGGUGUGUCCAUGUUUUACUCCAGUUUGGAUCAUGUGACCGGCAUCUUGGAUCUUGCCAAUUGCAGUCCCAGAAAUUCAGGUAGGAGCAAAUGAAAUGAGGAGCAUAUGCAAAUUGGGACUAUCUUUAGGACACGUUUGCAGGCAGGAUUAUUUUUGCCGUUUAUAUGGGAAAUCGAGCUGAUUUGAAUUAGAUUCCUGUAUUUGGUUUCAUGUACUUGAGUUGAAUGCGCUUAAAUGCGUCCGAUUUCCAUAGGCUUCAGUAGAGCGUGUUUAAUGUUCUUUCUACCUCCAAUUUUAGCAACUC